rnacentral:rRNA from 1 species
UACAGAGGUCUCAAGCGUUGUUCGGAUUCAUUGGGCGUAAAGGGUGCGUAGGCGGCGCGGUAAGUCGGGUGUGAAAUCUCGGAGCUUAACUCCGAAACUGCAUUCGAUACUGCCGGGCUAGAGUCCGGAAGAGGCGAGUGGAAUUCCUGGUGUAGCGGUGGAAUGCGCAGAUAUCAGGAGGAACACCAAUAGCGAAGGCAGCUCGCUGGGACGGUACUGACGCUGAGGCGCGAAAGCGUGGGGAGCGAACAGG